CGCAUAUUGCGCCCCUUGGUAUUCCGGGGGGCAUGCCUGUUCGAGCGUCAUUAUCACCCCUCAAGCCCGGCUUGUUGUUGGACGUCGGCGGUCGCCUUUGCGCCCCGCCCGUCUCAAAGAUAAUGACGGCGUCUGUGAGGACUCCUGUACACUGAGCUUUCGGGCACGUACUAGGUCAGCUCUCCAGACCCGGUCUUUAACGUCGUUUCGGCGACGAACUUUUCUAAGGUUGACCUCGGAUCAGGUAGGAAUACCCGCUGAACUUAA
rnacentral:misc_RNA from 1 species